rnacentral:tRNA from 1 species
CGACUUAUAGAGUGUGGUCGUUUGUGAAUCUCUAAAAUUUGCCCAACUAUCAACAGAUUUUGGGAACAGAGAUCUUUCUCCGUAAGCUGAC